rnacentral:rRNA from 1 species
UACAGAGGUCUCAAGCGUUGUUCGGAUUCAUUGGGCGUAAAGAGCGUGUAGGCGGCCAAGCAGGUCCGUUGUGAAAACUGGAGGCUUAACCUCCAGACGUCGACGGAAACCGCGCGGCUAGAGUCCGGAAGAGGAGAGUGGAAUUCCUGGUGUAGCGGUGAAAUGCGCAGAUAUCAGGAAGAACACCAAUGGCGAAGGCAGCUCUCUGGGACGGUACUGACGCUGAGACGCGAAAGCGUGGGGAGCGAACAGG